rnacentral:lncRNA from 1 species
UUGCUUCCUGCUGCUCAGGACUCUAAAGUGAGCUUAGAUGGAAGAGCCACCCAGAUCUGUCUCCUGGAGGAGUAACAGAAAGUAAUAGAGUUGUCUUUUUACGUGCUCUGUGAGGGCCAAGCCAGGAGGGAUUAAUUUUCUUGUUCCUGCUACGUCCCCAAGGAAGGAGAAUCAGCGAGUUUCAGAUGGAUGAACCUUGAAAAUAAAAUGAGAUCAUUCUGGCAUCUCGGAAAAGUGGG